UUUAUGGAGAGUUUGAUCCUGGCUCAGAGUGAACGCUGGCGGCGUGCCUAAUACAUGCAAGUCGAACGAUGAAGCUUCUAGCUUGCUAGAAUGCUGAUUAGUGGCGCACGGGUGAGUAACGCAUAGGUCAUGUGCCUCUUAGUUUGGGAUAGCCAUUGGAAACGAUGAUUAAUACCAGAUACUCCCUACGGGGGAAAGAUUUAUCGCUAAGAGAUCAGCCUAUGUCCUAUCAGCUUGUUGGUAAGGUAAUGGCUUACCAAGGCUAUGACGGGUAUCCGGCCUGAGAGGGUGAACGGACACACUGGAACUGAGACACGGUCCAGACUCCUACGGGAGGCAGCAGUAGGGAAUAUUGCUCAAUGGGGGAAACCCUGAAGCAGCAACGCCGCGUGGAGGAUGAAGGUUUUAGGAUUGUAAACUCCUUUUGUUAGAGAAGAUAAUGACGGUAUCUAACGAAUAAGCACCGGCUAACUCCGUGCCAGCAGCCGCGGUAAUACGGAGGGUGCAAGCGUUACUCGGAAUCACUGGGCGUAAAGAGCGCGUAGGCGGGAUAGUCAGUCAGGUGUGAAAUCCUAUGGCUUAACCAUAGAACUGCAUUUGAAACUACUAUUCUAGAGUGUGGGAGAGGUAGGUGGAAUUCUUGGUGUAGGGGUAAAAUCCGUAGAGAUCAAGAGGAAUACUCAUUGCGAAGGCGACCUGCUGGAACAUUACUGACGCUGAUUGUGCGAAAGCGUGGGGAGCAAACAGGAUUAGAUACCCUGGUAGUCCACGCCCUAAACGAUGGAUGCUAGUUGUUGGAGGGCUUAGUCUCUCCAGUAAUGCAGCUAACGCAUUAAGCAUCCCGCCUGGGGAGUACGGUCGCAAGAUUAAAACUCAAAGGAAUAGACGGGGACCCGCACAAGCGGUGGAGCAUGUGGUUUAAUUCGAAGAUACACGAAGAACCUUACCUAGGCUUGACAUUGAGAGAAUCCGCUAGAAAUAGUGGAGUGUCUAGCUUGCUAGACCUUGAAAACAGGUGCUGCACGGCUGUCGUCAGCUCGUGUCGUGAGAUGUUGGGUUAAGUCCCGCAACGAGCGCAACCCCCUUUCUUAGUUGCUAACAGGUCAUGCUGAGAACUCUAAGGAUACUGCCUCCGUAAGGAGGAGGAAGGUGGGGACGACGUCAAGUCAUCAUGGCCCUUACGCCUAGGGCUACACACGUGCUACAAUGGGGUGCACAAAGAGAAGCAAUACUGCGAAGUGGAGCCAAUCUUCAAAACGCCUCUCAGUUCGGAUUGUAGGCUGCAACUCGCCUGCAUGAAGCUGGAAUCGCUAGUAAUCGCAAAUCAGCCAUGUUGCGGUGAAUACGUUCCCGGGUCUUGUACUCACCGCCCGUCACACCAUGGGAGUUGUGUUUGCCUUAAGUCAGGAUGCUAAACUAGCUACUGCCCACGGCACACACAGCGACUGGGGUGAAGUCGUAACAAGGUAACCGUAGGUGAACCUGCGGUUGGAUCACCUCCUUU
rnacentral:rRNA from 1 species